CCUGGGCAACAUAGUGAGGCCCCAUCUCUAAAAAGUAAAUAAGCAAAUUAAAAAGAAUUAUAAAACUGCUCUUAAAGGAUAGUGCAGAGGGUGGUAGUGGGGGAGACCUAUUUAGAUAGGUCAAUAAGGAUGACCUCUCCAGAAACCAUAUGUAAUGAAUGAGCAGGAGUCAGCUGUGCUAAGUGCUUGGGGAGAGUUAGGGAUGGGGGUUCCUCUAGGGUCCAGGCAGUGGAAACAGUAUGUAUAAGGUUUAUGAGAACAACAUCCAAUAAACAUUAGAGUGAUUUUAACCAAGAAUAUUUUCAUUCUUUGUGCAGGGCACUGAGUUAAAAUCUGUCUUAUAAACAGGACAAAUGCCUCCUUCACUGAAAAUUGAGGCUUAAUUGAUCAAUCUUGGAAAAAAACCCUUGGAUAAAAGGAAGAAGAGAGUGCACCUGAUGUAGUAGCCACUGUAAGAACUGUAUUGGAGAAUGAUCUGAUUGGCCCGUGCAAGAGGGAUUGGAGAGAAGAAGAAACCGCAAGCAGAAAAACCAGAUGAGGAAAUUAAGCUAAAUAUUAACUAUCUCAAGAAUAUUCCCAGAAGUGACUGCUAAAUUUAAGUCCCUGCUUACAAUGAAAUACUGUAUAGCAGGGGUUCUCAAACGUUUUGGUCUUAGAACCCUUACAGCCUUAAAAAUUAUUGAGAACUCCAAAGAACUUUCAAUUAUGUGGGUCAUAACUACUGAUAUUUACUGUAUUAUAACUUGAAACUGAAAAAAUGUUAAAAUAUUUAUAAACAUUGAAAAAUAAUAAACCCAUUGUAAGCUAAUAUAAAUCGCAUGUUUUUGUUAAACAUCACUUUAUUUUCCAAAGCAAAAAAUUUAGUGAGAAGAGAGGCCUUCUUUUACAUUUUAAUAUCUGGCUUAUGAGAAAAUAGCUGAGUUUCUCAUUUCUGCUUUUCCAUUUAAUCUGUUGGUGUAUGUUUUAUUUAAAGUACAGUUAACCCUUGAAGAACAUGGGUCUGAACUGUGCAGGUCCACUUAUACGUGGAUUCUUUUCCAAUAAAAGUUGCAGAUGUGCCUGUC